rnacentral:tmRNA from 1 species
GGGGGUGAAUUUGGCUUCGACGGGAUUAGGAGUUCUUUGAAUUGCACACCGUGUUCUCCGUAGACACGUUAAACGACGGUAAAAAAGAUAAAAGGCGAAUAUAACUACGCUUUAGCUGCGUAAUUUACGCAGCCGUUCUUCGAUUCCAUUCAUGCCUGGGGUCGAAAGAACGCCGCAUGGCAUGAUAGCCGAAUCGAACUUCCGGAUAGAAGAGGCGAAUCAAACUUCGGAACAGUCCGUUUGAAAUCUGUCUGUUGAUGCUGAACGGAUUAAAUUAAAAAACAGAAUAUGUGUGUAGAAGUUCAUAGGAUUAUAAUUUCGGACGCGGGUUCGACUCCCGCCACCUCCACUC